rnacentral:rRNA from 1 species
GACGAACGCUGGCGGCGUGCUUAACACAUGCAAGUCGAACGAUGAAGCUGGAGCUUGCUCCGGUGGAUUAGUGGCGAACGGGUGAGUAACACGUGAGCAAUCUGCCCUUGACUCUGGGAUAACUGCGGGAAACUGUAGCUAAUACCGGAUACUUUCACUGGAAGGCAUCUUCUGGUGAAGAAAGAAUUUCGGUCAAGGAUGAGCUCGCGGCCUAUCAGCUUGUUGGUGAGGUAACGGCUCACCAAGGCGACGACGGGUAGCCGGCCUGAGAGGGCGACCGGCCACACUGGGACUGAGACACGGCUCAGACUCCUACGGGAGGCAGCAGUGGGGAAUAUUGCACAAUGGGCGCAAGCCUGAUGCAGCAACGCCGCGUGAGGGAUGAAGGCCUUCGGGUUGUAAACCUCUUUUAGCAGGGAAGAAGCGAAAGUGACGGUACCUGCAGAAAAAGCACCGGCUAACUACGUGCCAGCCGCCGCGGUAA